rnacentral:tRNA from 1 species
GCCCUUGUAGCGUAAUGGAUAACGUGUUAGCCUCCUAAGCUAAAGACUCUGGGUUCGAAUCCCAGCAGGGGCU